GCUAUCAGUGGUGGAGGGGCUGUGCCAAGCUGGGAUCCUGGGUGCUCUCCUGUGGGCUGAGGUUCCCCAGGAGAUGUGUUCCUGUGCUGGGAAAGCCUUCCUGACUGUAAACAAGCAGCCUGGUGGAAGGUUUCAGUGAUGGGCUGCAUGCAAAGCCAAAGUCUGGGAUUACAGCAGUAGCCACACUAGAAAAGGCUGACCUGAUUCACAGCAUCAUAGUUCACAGCCACUUCAAGUUUUCUCGGUUUUCACAAGCUUGCUAAGCUGCUUAGGCCUUGCAGAAUCUGUCUGGAGAGGUAAUUUCUGUGCCAAAAGGCACUCGUUCCCAGGAUUAAGAUUUAGGCACUACUUACCUGUGAGGAAAACCUCACAUUUAUGAAGGAAGGUUUGCUCUGAGCUCUUGCAUAGCAGGACAGUCAGCCUGUAUAAACCUCUUGGCUGUGAGAAGAAGCUGGUGUGGAUCAGAAAGCCAAAGUCCCACUGGAAUAUUGGGCAAAAGUCUGUUGUAAUCCAGAGCGCCCACUAAUGAGGUCCUCGUGCCUGAUAUGACAAUACAUCUCUUCCAGAGAGCUUGUGAUGUGUCCUCAGUGCAGCAAAAUUCAACAUCCAUCUUGGAGCAUGUUUUCUUGGAGCAUUGCCAGAGGCUGUCCCAGGAGGAAUGUCCUCUGCCACCCCCAGCAUCCUUGGUCUUGAAAAAGCUCCCAGAAUGGAUGUCAAGGGGUUGUUCUGUACAUCAGCCUUAAGCCAUAGAAAAGAUACAUUUUGAGUUGUUCUCUGCUGGAUAUCCAGGUAUUCCCCAUGAAGAAAGAACCACAGGACCACCACAGGAUCCCCUUUCCCACCAGGAGCCUCAUGGUUGGUGUUGCUGGCAAGGGUUUUUCCUCUGAAUUCAGAUGCUGCUUUUUCCUUGGCCGGAGUCUGGCAAAGAGCUCCUUCCAACCCCACAUCUGUGACAGGAAGAAGGAGUGUUACCUCAUUUUAUUAAAACCAGAAAGAAGGCUGUUGGCCACUUUGCUCAACAUUCUCAUCAGUACUGCCCACGAGGCUCUCUGGAUUGGGUCAGCAAUAUUCCUCUGACACAAGAUUUUUCCAGGAUCCUAAAUCCCACAUCUUCCACAACUGUCUUUCAAGGAGGCAAAGACUACUUGCUGUGUACUGGAAUGUGUCCUUUAUAUUUGAUAUUAACUAAUGGGGACGAAAUUGCUCUUGGCUCUUGAUAUUACUGAGUGUUCCCUUUGGGGUCUGGAUUCCUUCCCAGCAAGUGGUAGCAGCCACCAGCAAAGGCUGUUGAAAUGUCAGAUGGCGAAAACAAGGAAGAGCUCCAGAUGGAGCAGCUGGAAGAGAAACACGAUAGAGAUGGCAAUGGGAAAGCUUCAGAGUCACACUUGACUGGGAGUCCCGUGUUUGGGAUUGGGAGUCCCCACCUGUGGCUUCCAAACCCACUCUGUGCAAGCCCUUGUGCAAAGCAGCAUCCCAUGAGGAAGUUCUUCAUUAUUAUGCAUUCCCUGACUUUAGCCAAGAGAGUUUGACCAAGCCAUGGAAGGUCUGUGCUGUCGAGAGUACAGAGAAAACUACUCCAGCUCCUGGGAUUUGACUGAAAGGAUUGAAGACCGAAAUAAAUAAAAGCAAUUUGUGCUGCCUACAGCCUCGUACCUGCUGGUCUGCAAGUGGGACCUCACAAUGAGAUUCUUCUCAGUGCAGCAAAACUCACUGACCACCACUGGCUGUGUUGGACACCUCUCCAGAUUCCUCUGGAACAGUAAAGAGGGUUGUGGAUGUAGAGCAGAACAGGACCAGCUCUGGCAUUUUGGCUGCUGCAGCAGAGAACAUGGAUCUGAAAUUGUAUCCUGAAAUUCUGAGGCCACUGGUGAGCUGUAGGAGGCCUUCAGCAACCACCAGCAUUAUUCCAGAAGGAAAAGGUAGAAUUUGCUGGAUGAGCAAGCUGGAAGAAGGCGGUAUCUGAGUCACACCGUUUGCACUGUGCUUUGUACCCCUGCGGGGGAUGUAAAAGCUCCAUUUUUGGAAUAUUCCGAGGUCCACCCCAGUCAGAUGUGCCAGGUUCUGUGCCUGGAGCUGCACUUCCCACCAUUGCAAGUCCUGCCCAACUUGCAUAGAACAGCUUCAGAAAUGGCAAAGGCUGCAAGGUGCUCACGCAGUGUGAUGACCAGCUGAACAGGAUUGAAAAGGACAGUGACAAGUUAUAAAAGUUUGUGUGAGCUUUUGGCCCAGCUGCCAAUACUCAGCUUUUCCUGCUCGAUGUACAAGUUUCUGCAUCCUCACCCUACGGAUCCUUUUUUAUAUUCAGAGAUCAGCACUGUGUGUUUUCUUUUAAAAAUCACAGUAUUUCAGCCAGAAUCACAACAUCAGUUGAUUUAUAAGCCCUGAGCUGACAAUACAUGUAAACAGAAGACUAACUUUAAGCAUAUGCUUAAGUUCUCUGCAUCUCAGCCACAUGCUUAAGUGCUUUGCCAGGGGAAAGGAGAAGGCAUGAGAAAUCUCUUUGAUCAUUUGAAGGAAAGAUUGGUCCCACUCCACUGAAAUCCUUGGCCUACAGAUAUCCCCUAGGAGACCUUUAGUGAACAUCAGACAAAGAAUGACAGUAGAAUCUUCAUUGCACUCUGUCAGUGUAAAUUGACUUGCUGCAACCUGCUACUCUCCAGAAAUUACAAAGCCCAGGAAGAUAAUUUGUUGCUGGUGCUGAUAGCAUCUGUUUAUUCUAAUGCACCAGUCGGGCUGUGCUCGCCUGCACAGGGGAGAAAAUGACCUUCAGUGGAAUCACAAACUUAGUUCUGGAUCAGCAUCUCCCUCGGCAGCUGGCUGCUGGGAAUCUGAAGUCCCUGUUUUCAGGGAGGCAGCAGCCAAACCAGUGCAGGGCAAGGCUGCCACCAGGGAGGCAGAAGGCAACCUAGAGCUUUUUCAAGAACUGUGGAAGAGAGCCCAGCACAAGGACCCACAGCUGCACCAGGCUCUCCAUGCUGACACCCACCCAGGGCCCUUGGCUUCCUCUGGGCAUCAGAACAGGAGCUGUUCUGGAAGGACAUUUCACCUGGAUCAAGAAAACCAGGAUCAGAACAGAGAUCCACAUAUGCUGCUUGGAGGCUGAUUUCUGCCCUCAUCCCUCUGUUCCAGUCAGUGGGCAAUGCUGGGGGCAACCUUCUCUCCCUUCUGAUGCUCCAGAUGGGUCACUGGCACCAGGUUUUAAAGCAGCUGCAACACGAGCCCAGAGUGCUCAGGCUGGAUGGAGAUCCUGCACUGCAAGGUCUUCUGCUGUUUCUGGGGUUGCAAAAGGAACAUCCACCUAUCAAGUCAGUGCCCAGCUUAAAUUUUUAUAUAUCCCUCUUCAUCUUCUAAUGAACUGUGCACCUGGAGGUGUGCUUCAGUGUGGUCAUGCAACCAGCUGGGCACAGUGCUGAGCAAAGAUUGUAUCUCCUUUCUCUAGGAAGUCAGACCAUACUGAGAACUACCAUCAGUUAUACUCAAAGUCCCCAAAUUCUUGGUGUCUCCUUUGCCCAAGCAUGAGAUCAUUACCUGUUGUGUGGGGGGGGAUAUAGCAUUCCCUAACAGAAAUCCUGCAUGCCUGGAUGUAGACAAAUGAACAAAGUCCUGAACAGUCUAAAAGAAAAUACCUCCUCCAUCCAAAAAAUGGGAGUUAGAAAGGAGACUUUUGCCUUGUGCCUCCAGCUUCAGUUUAAAGUUGAUCAAGCAACUUCCUUCUGCAGAGAAAGUGUUUCUGUAAGUGGCAGAAGAAAAAUAUUGCAGAGGAAAAAAAACCCUAGUUCCUGAAUUCCAAAAAUACUGUCUCUUUUCAAAGUAAGAUUUAUAUGCAAGAAGACAAUCUCUCUUACAGAAUUUUUCCUGUCACUUGGAGUCCACUCACUGGAAACAAGCAUACAGUUUAAAAAUAUAUUGGAAGAGCAGCUUGGACACAGAGAAAGGAAUGACCUGUAGUCCUAAAAAACAGAGAAGCUUUUCAGUAGCUUGAGGCUUGGAACAAGAAUCUAAAAGUUAUGUAACACCAGUAAAAUUUGGGGCAUUCUUCUUACCUAAAAAAUAACCAUUCUUGGCUUCUCACAUUAAUAUCUCUGCUUAGGGAUUACGUUAACUGUUUUGUGGGGAAGCUGGAUGGAAAUCUGCAGCUGUGGUGGUGAGUUUUCUUCAAUGUGUACAGGGUCGGGAUGAGUGAGUGCUUGGGUUAUUUGAGGGCUGGUGUUCCUGAGCCCUCUUUGUCUGGGAUCCAGACAAGCCUUCCUGUUGAGAAACACUGUCCUACUUCUUCAGUGCAAGACAAACAACAGAACAGCUCCUGCUCUAGCAGCACCGUGGAAGCAGUAAACUGUUUCCAGUUAAUGCUGCGAGCAUGGAGUGGCUUCUGGAGUUAUCAAAGCAGAGGUAACACACCUCCUUUCCUGCUCUCCUUGGUUUUAUUAAGAUAGCUUUGGUUCUUGCAAAAUUCUGAGGGAUGUUGUGUGGGCCUUUUGCAAGGAAAAGGUUGGAUGCCCAUGUGCACCUCUGAGGUGGAAACAAUGGGUACCAUUAGCUCUAUUCAAGGAUACAACUUCAUUUCAGCAUGAGUGGAAAGUAUGUGGGAAUGCUUAAUAACUUUUCCU